rnacentral:rRNA from 1 species
ACGGGAGGCAGCAGUGGGGAAUAUUGGGCAAUGGGGGCAACCCUGACCCAGCAACGCCGCGUGAAGGAAGAAGGCUUUCGGGUUGUAAACUUCUUUUAUCAGGGACGAUAGUGACGGUACCUGACUAAGAAGCCCCGGCUAACUACGUGCCAGCAGCCGCGGUAAUACGUAGGGGGCAAGCGUUAUCCGGAUUUACUGGGUGUAAAGGGAGCGUAGACGGUUUGGCAAGUCUGAAGUGAAAUGCGGGGGCUCAACUCCUGAACUGCUUUGGAAACUGUCGAACUAGAGUGCAGGAGAGGUAAGUGGAAUUCCUAGUGUAGCGGUGAAAUGCGUAGAUAUUAGGAGGAACACCAGUGGCGAAGGCGGCUUACUGGACUGUAACUGACGUUGAGGCUCGAAAGCGUGGGGAGCAAACAGGAUUAGAUACCCUGGUA